UACGGGGGGCAAGCGUUGUUCGGAAUCACUGGGCGUAAAGGGCGCGUAGGCGGCGUUUUAAGUCGGGGUGAAAGCCUGUGGCUCAACCACAGAACUGGCCUCGAUACUGGGACGCUUGAGUAUGGUAGAGGUUGGUGGAACUGCGAGUGUAGAGGUGAAAUUCGUAGAUAUUCGCAAGAACACCGGUGGCGAAGGCGGCCAACUGGACCAUUACUGACGCUGAGGCGCGAAAGCGUGGGAGCAAACAGG
rnacentral:rRNA from 1 species